CCAUUUAUACAAGAAAUAUAUUAUAUAAUUGUAUGAAGAUGAUCAUUUUUGGGAAGUUGUCUAUACAUAUCACAGGGUUAAUUGAAUAAGACAACAAAAUGAAAUGAUCACGAGUGUAGUUAGAACUUAAAGGAAGGUUUGGAGAAGAAAAAUAAGAAAAAUAGUGAUAAAGAUAAUGACAAUAACAGCGAUAAUAAGUAAGCAGGUAAUUGGAAAUCAAAGUCAAGAUAAGAACAUGAAUGUUGGAAAGGUUUGAGAGGACAAUCUUGGUAUGAAAGUUAAGUUACAAUUAGAUUUAGAGUACAGGACUUUUGAAUGCUUAAAUGAAAAGAGAUAGCAUUAGGAAUGGACUUGGAUAAGGGUAUAAGGAAUAAAUACCUUCUUAGACUUAAAUAAGAAAAAGAUCGAUUGGUUAAAGACAGA
rnacentral:lncRNA from 1 species